rnacentral:rRNA from 1 species
CCUACGGGUGGCUGCAGUGGGGAAUAUUGCGCAAUGGGCGAAAGCCUGACGCAGCGACGCCGCGUGAGGGAUGAAGGUCCUCGGAUCGUAAACCCCUGUCAGCAGGGAAGAACAGCCACUGUGCUAAUCAGCAGUGAAUUGACGGUACCUGCAAAGGAAGCACAGGCUAACUCCGUGCCAGGAGCCGCGGUAAUACGGGGGGUGCGAGCGUUAAUCGGAUUUAUUGGGCGAAAGGCGUGCGUAGGCGGUAUGUCAGGUCAGGGGUAAAAUCCCGGCGCUCACGUCGGGCAUGCCGUUGGAACUGGCAAACUUGAGUUUGUGAGAGGAUAGUGGAAUUCCCGGUGUAGGAGUGAAAUCCGUAGAUAUCUGGAAGAACACCAGUUGCGAAGGCGACUAUCUGGCACCUAACUGACGCUGAGGAGCGAAAGCGUGGGUAGCAAACAGGAUUAGAUACCCUGGUAGUC